UCUCUCUCUCUCUAGGAGCUGUUCUGCGUGUGCGGGGCUCUGAAGAGGGUGAAGCUGUAUUAAUCUCUCUCUCCUCUCUCUCUCUAGGAGCUGUUCUGCGUGUGCGGGGCUCUGAAGAGGGUGAAGCUGUAUUAAUCUCUCUCUCCUCUCUCUCUCUAGGAGCUGUUCUGCGUGUGCGGCUCUGAAGAGGGUGAAGCUGUAUUAAUCUCUCUCUCCUCUCUCUCUCUAGGAGCUGUUCUGCGUGUGCGGGGCUCUGAAGAGGGUGAAGCUGUAUUAAUCUCUCUCUCCUCUCUCUCUCUAGGAGCUGUUCUGCGUGUGCGGGGCUCUGAAGAGGGUGAAGCUGUAUUAAUCUCUCUCUCCUCUCUCUCUCUAGGAGCUGUUCUGCGUGUGCGGGGCUCUGAAGAGGGUGAAGCUGUAUUAAUCUCUCUCUCCUCUCUCUCUCUAGGAGCUGUUCUGCGUGUGCGGGGCUCUGAAGAGGGUGAAGCUGUAUUAAUCUCUCUCUCCUCUCUCUCUCUAGGAGCUGUUCUGCGUGUGCGGGGCUCUGAAGAGGGCAAAGCUGGUCAGAGCUGGGUUUGGGGAGGUGGUGUUUGUGAAGCAGGAAGACGCCGUCUCAGCCUACAGGAAAUACAACAAUCGAUGUCUGGAUGGUCAGCCAAUGAAAUGCAAUCUUCACAUGCAGGGGGGGAGCGUCAUCACUUCAGAUCAGCCAAUACUGCUGAGGCUGAGUGACACCCCGGGCCUCCCGAAGAAAGCCCCCUCGACCGCGGACCUUCGCCAGGGGGUGCCUCGCCCCCCCUCCCGGCCUCAGGGGGAGGUGGACCCCGAGACCAUCCUCCGAGCGCUGUUCAAAUCAUCAGGGACCCCGACAGCGAGCGCGCAGCCCACCGCCUUUCAAAUCAAGAUCUAACUAGGGGGGGGGCGUCGCUGAGUCGCACGCAGACCGGCAGAGACGUCACACUGCCUCCCAGUCUAAAUGUGAUCUCACCAGAGAGAGAGACAGACUGGGAGGGGUCUGGUUAUAAUGGAGCUGCCCCCCCCCCCACCCCUCCCAGACUCUCUCGCAGAGCCCAAUGAUGACAGAAUUAUCCAGGACUAUUAAACACGCCACAGAAGCGAAUUCAGAAACGCUGAAAGAAAUUUCAGGAAUUCAAUGGCAAACGUUUCCACUAGAAGUCUCUCUCAGCGUCUUCAGUGUAAAUUCAAUGGCAAACGUUUCCACUAGAAGUCUCUCUCAGCGUCUUCAGUGUAAAUUCAACGGCAAACGUUUCCACUAGAAGCCUCUCUCAGCGUCUUCAGUGUAAAUUCAACGGCAAACGUUUCCACUAGAAGUCUUUCUCAGCGUCUUCAGUGUAAAUUCAAUGGCAAACGUUUCCACUAGAAGUCUCUCUCAGCGUCUUCAGUGUAAAUUCAACGGCAAACGUUUCCACUAGAAGUCUCUCUCAGCGUCUUCAGUGUAAAUUCAAUGGCAAACGUUUCCACUAGAAGUCUCUCUCAGCGUCUUCAGUGUAAAUUCAAUGGCAAACGUUUCCUCUAGAAGUCUCUCUCAGCGUCUUCAGUGUAAAUUCAACGGCAAACGUUUCCACUAGAAGUCUCUCUCAGCGUCUUCAGUGUAAAUUCAACGGCAAACGUUUCCACUAGAAGUCUCUCUCAGCGUCUUCAGUGUAAAUUCAACGGCAAACGUUUCCACUAGAAGUCUUUGAAGACGCUGAGAGAGACUUCUAGUGGAAACGUUUGCCGUUGAAUUCAUGAAGUUUAUUUUCGUGUUUCUAAACAACUAACAAGGAAAUAAACAAACUAUCUGUAUUUAAUUUUGUUUGCUUCUCUAUCAUAACUCAAAUGCUUUUUAUUUUCUUUCCAAAAUACUAAAAUGUUUUUUUCAUGACUUUUAUAGUCAGCAAACAAGCCCCUCCCCCUUUUCCUGCAAGUUUGUUUAUGAUGUCAUUUCCUGAGGGGGGGGGGGGGGGGUUUCUCAGCUAUGGUUCAAUUAAAAACGAUCAAAAAAUAAAUCAUGUUAGAUUUGUUUUUUUUUUUGGUUUUGGUUCGUUAACUUUUAUUUGGUGAGGGGAAGAAAUGACGAGGAAAUUAAUUUUCUUUGUUUUAGAAAAAUAAAUGUGUUUCUAGAAA